UUAAUUUGUUGAGUGUACUUUGAUAAAUUUUAUCCUUUCCUUGGGCUACAAAAAUUCUAGAAACUACCAACCCAACUAGCUUAACCAUCAGGCAUGGAGUUAUACAUGUUUGAAUGAAACUCAAAGACAUCAUAUUGUGACACUCUAUUACCUUGACCACCUCUCCUUAAGCUGCUCUCGUUUUAAAAUUCUUAUAAACAUUUAUUUCUGGUCCAAUGACUUCAAGUUCUGGGCAUAGGUGGACACUUGCAUAACUAGAACUAUAAUGCUGAACAAAUUGGCAUUUAUAAGCUACGCACCCAAUUGGUAUUUAUAAGCCAAGCACUAAAUAAUCAGAGUCCCCUCACAUAUAAUGCAUGCCCCAAGGAUGUUACUCUGCACAAGGUUAACCGUGGAGAUUUCAGCAAAAUAAAAUCAGACGGCUUCUGACAUAUCUUGUGGUAACGAAGGAACAUUGUAGCCGUUCAAGGUGGAUUGGCGUCUUUGAUAGCAUGGCCCAUGGCAAUUUCAGGGCAUGGUUGCUUCAUUAAAUGGUGGUUGAAGGACUUUAUAGCACUAUGCAUGGAAGCUUCAGUCUUUGUGGUUACAAAUUAUAAAUAGUUGUAAUGUUUUGGAGGUUAAUUUUAGACAGGUUUAUAUUAUAAAUAGUUGUAAUGUUUUGGAGGUUAAUUUUAGACAGGUUUAUCAGGAGGCCAAUGAGGUAGCAGACUCCCUUGCGAAGAGGCCAAUGAGGUAGCAGACAGGUAUAUAGGGUUCUAUGUUAGAUGAAUUGGAUGUUGA
rnacentral:lncRNA from 1 species